UACAGAGGGGGCAAGCGUUGUUCGGAAUUACUGGGCGUAAAGGGCGCGUAGGCGGCCCGCUAAGUCGAACGUGAAAUCCCCAGGCUUAACCUGGGAACUGCGUCCGAUACUGGCAGGCUUGAAUCCGGGAGAGGGAUGUGGAAUUCCAGGUGUAGCGGUGAAAUGCGUAGAUAUCUGGAGGAACACCGGUGGCGAAGGCGGCAUCCUGGACCGACACUGACGCUGAGGCGCGAAAGCUAGGGUAGCAAACGGG
rnacentral:rRNA from 1 species